UUCUUUUAGAAUUAAUUAAAAGUAUCUUCUGCUCCAUGAUAAAUUAAAUAGCUGCAGUUUUCUGUACUAAGGUAGCAUAAUCAAUUGUUUAUUAAUUGUAAACUCGUAUGAAGGAAGGAAUAAUAUAUGAUUUUAUUAUCUUUAUGAUUUGAAUUUAAAAUUUAGGUAAAAAUACCUAAACUUAAUAUAGGGACAAGAAGACCCUAUAAAGCUUAAUAGAAACAAAGAAAAAUUUUUGAUGUGUGCUAUUUUAUUGGGGCAAUAGAUUAUUUAUAACAAAUAUAAUAAUACAAUAAUACAAAAAUAAUUAAUAGAUCCAUUUAUAAUGAUAAAAUGAACAAGUUACUUUAGGGAUAACAGGAUAAUUUUUGUUAAGAAGAACAAAUUUAUAAUAAAGAUUAUUACCUCGAUGUUGGAUUAAUUAAUUUAAAUAAUGAAGAAGUUAUUAAAAUUUGGCUGUUCGCCAAUUGAAAAAUUACA
rnacentral:rRNA from 1 species